GACGAACGCUGGCGGCAUGCCUAACACAUGCAAGUCGAACGAGACCUUCGGGUCUAGUGGCGCACGGGUGCGUAACGCGUGGGAAUCUGCCCUUGGGUUCGGAAUAACAGCGAGAAAUUGCUGCUAAUACCGGAUGAUGACGUAAGUCCAAAGAUUUAUCGCCCAAGGAUGAGCCCGCGUAGGAUUAGCUAGUUGGUGAGGUAAAGGCUCACCAAGGCGACGAUCCUUAGCUGGUCUGAGAGGAUGAUCAGCCACACUGGGACUGAGACACGGCCCAGACUCCUACGGGAGGCAGCAGUGGGGGAAUAUUGGACAAUGGGCGAAAGCCUGAUCCAGCAAUGCCGCGUGAGUGAUGAAGGCCUUAGGGUUGUAAGCUCUUUUACCCGGGAUGAUAAUGACAGUACCGGGAGAAUAAGCUCCGGCUAACUCCGUGCCAGCAGCCGCGGUAAU
rnacentral:rRNA from 1 species